rnacentral:rRNA from 1 species
UACGUAGGGGGCAAGCGUUGUCCGGAUUUAUUGGGCGUAAAGAGCGUGUAGGCGGCUUUACAGGUCCGUUGUGAAAACUCGAGGCUCAACCUCGAGACGCCGGUGGAAACCGUAAAGCUAGAGUCCGGAAGAGGAGAGUGGAAUUCCUGGUGUAGCGGUGAAAUGCGCAGAUAUCAGGAGGAACACCCGUGGCGAAAGCGGCUCUCUGGGACGGUACUGACGCUGAGACGCGAAAGCGUGGGGAG